rnacentral:rRNA from 1 species
ACAAGCCUGAGAAACGGCUAGUAGGACUAAGGUCUGCAGCAGGCGCGAAACUUACACAAUGCUAGAUUAAAAUUAGCGAUGUAGUGAAGAAAAAUAACGAUGUACUUCCGUUUAAACAUGGUAGUACAAUUGGAAUGAGUCGAGUCUAAACCACUUAGGCGAGUAUCAAAUGGAGGGCAAGUCUGGUGCCAGCAGCCGCGGUAAUUCCAGCUCCAUUAGCAUACAUUAAAGUUGUUGCGGUUAAAAAGCUCGUAGUUGAAUUUUAGGCGGGCUCUAUUGGGAUGCAAUCGUUAAGGUUUUAUGCGUGUUGGCGCAGCCCAUACCAUACAAACUGGUUGUAUUUUCCCUAUAGGAACUCGCUGUUUCGUCACUUAAUCGAGUGCGAAGCGGGCUGGUACUAGCCGUACUUAUGUGCGCGCUUGUUUCAGCAUGUUUACCUUGAGAAAAUUAGAGUGCUCACAGCAGGCAGUUGGGGUGUAAAAGCUCCUUUAUGCUUGAAUAAUGUUGCAUGGAAUAAUAGAAUACGGCCUCGGUUCUAUUCUGUUGGUCUUAUAGAACAACAAACAAGUUGGUUAAAGCGACCAAAAGUCUGUUUGCGAGUGUGGUUUUGACUAGCUGUUCUAGUCGCUUUAGGUGAGUUCUGUUGCCUGGGACCUAAAAAUCUCAGUUGCCUGGCUCCCUACAUGCGCCUGUUCAUCACUAGUUCAACUCCAUUCAAAGCACUCCUUACAUGGCUAGCUUUCUAAUCAACUGAGGCAAUGGUUAAAAGAAAUAGUCGCGGCGGCAUCAGUACUGCAUCGUGAGAG